AUUUUGUGCUCCUGGCCCUGAAGAUCUAGGCAGCUUCAACUUCCUCUCUUUUGGUAUACCUCCUUGCCUGUCUAGCAGCCAUGGAAAGAGCCAUGAAGAGACAUGAAGUCUCCCCAGCCCAAAGCCUGUGCUGAGCUCCCAGUUACAGCCAGUGCCAACUGUAUGCCAACAAGCCGUGUGUGUCAACCUUGAAAAUGGGCUCCUCCUCCUCCACUCUACCUGCCUGAAAGGAUGCCUUAUAUAGCAAAAAAGGCCUGUCCCUCCUUAACCCUAUACGGAUUGCAGAUUUAUCAGGGAGGAUGGCCAUGGAACAGUGAGAAUGAUGGGAAACUACCACACCCACAGCCACAUCAGGAAAACCCACCUGCAGAACCAGAAGAGCCACAGGUCACAUCCAAGUUGGCUGUGCCUCCAACUGUCUGGAUCAAUCUGACAUCUGUUUGCAGACUGAUUGGAUGAGGAAGCCAAGAGAACAAUCAGAGUGAAGAUUUAGGAAGCUAUUGGAAUAAUUUAGAACCGUCUGGCAUCCUCCUGCAAAUAAGAUCUUCAUGAAAAUCCAGAGCCCUUUCAUGCCUCAAGAGUCCAAGCAAACAGCCAGCUGGCAAAAUGAACUUACUUGGUAUGUGACCAGGUGAGCAUUUCCUUACAAGAGUGCCAAGAGAGAGGAGUCUGAAGUCUGCCAAAAGGCAAAAGGAAGUAGAAGAGCCCACAUUUUUCCCAGCGCAGUCAAGAUUACUGGAACAUGUUGCCUGAUCCCCAGUGGAGGAAGAUGUGAACAUCCAAGGAAAAGCUCAGCUGUUGGAAUUCUGUCCAUUUUGAAACGUAGAGUCUCCCAUGGUUGUUGACUAAAAUCAGGCAAAUAUAUAGAGCCAAGACCAGAGUAUAUCAAAAGCUUUAGGUCAAUUUGCUGAAGAAUGAAAGGAGGAAUUCAUUGUCAAAAUGGAGUUUCAGUGGAG
rnacentral:lncRNA from 1 species